AUCAAGUGCUGGGGAAAUGCUUCUUAUUCCUCCAAAUGUUGAAGGAAAAGAGAAAGGAGACUGCAUUUGUGUAUUAUCAAAUUCUUCAGUAUUGACCCUCAGUUCUUUAUGAAAGUUUAGCAGUUGUUGUGAUCGUUGUUGUUGUUGAUGACUAAUAUGUUUGCCAUGAUCUGGAUUCUUCUGUUCUUGUUUUUCAGGCGAUGCUGGUGGUGGAACUGACUGGCUUCCUUGGAAGCAAGUGUGCUUUACUUUGUAUGUAAUUUCAAACAUGGUGGGGUUGUCAUCUGAUCUUUGGACUUGCUUCGUAGCCCAACAAUUCUGAGUGUUUCUGUAGGUGCAUCUGUAAUAGCUUCUGCAAAUGCAACAAGAAGCCAAGGGAUGAAGAACGAGAGACUACAAGCAUGGAAAAUCAGAGUUAGAAUUGUAUUUUCUCUAUUAAAUGUAGCAGCAGAGGAAGGAGGAAGUGAGGCUGUAUUUGGGUUUGAGGAGAAACUGAAAGCAAGAGGUGUAUAUAUAUAUUAGUGCUACAAAACAUAAGAAGUCUGAAUUUUGACUGAGAAACCGUGUUUGAACAGAGACUAGUCGAUGGUCAUAUUGAUAAGUGGACAGAGAGUGAGAGUGAGUGAGAAUUGGUCCAUAUAUUUGACCAAUUCUAACCUUCAAAUAUUCUUCAUAAAAGUAAAAUAGUAGCUGCUUAUAUA